rnacentral:rRNA from 1 species
AAUGAACGCUGGCGGCAUGCCUAACACAUGCAAGUCGAACGGCAGCACGGGAAGAUCGUGCUCUUGCCGUUAGCGGCGGGCGGGCGAGUAACAAGUGCAUAAGAUUCUUCUUUUUCGGGGGUGAUAACGGAGGGCAACUGAUACUACUACCGCACACGACGUACCGGUGGAAGCAGCGGAGCUUCCGAGCUUUCGCGUUGGAAUGAGACGGAGUCGGAUUAGCUAGUUGGCGGGGUAAAGGCUCACCAAGGCGACGAUCCGUAGCGGGUCUGAGAGGAUGAUCAGCCACACUGGAACUGAGACACGGUCCAGACUCCUACGGGAGGCAGCAGUGGGGAAUAUUCGACAAUGGGCGAAAGCCUGAUCCAGCAAUGCCGCGUGAGUGAAGAAGGCCUUCGGGUUGUAAAGCUCUUUUGUUGGGAAAGAAAAGCUGCGGGUUAAUACCUGCCUGUCUUGACGGUACCCAAAGAAUAAGCACCGGCUAACUACGUG